AUGGAUGGAGCAAGGCGCUCCACAGAUGCCUCCGACGAGCAAGAGCCGAAGCGUCCGUGCCUUGCAGUUGCAGGCGGCCGCAAUGGUGGUGCAGGUGGGGCCGGCGGCAGUGAUGCGGGUGACGACGACAGCCACGGCGAUGCGGGUGGGGACGGCGGUGAUGCGGGUGGGGGCGGCGGCGUUGGCCAUGCCGCCGACGACCCGCCGCCGACGCUGAGCACCUUGGGGGACGACGUCCUCCGCGCCAUCCUGUCGCGCCUCGAGUCGUCCCGGCAGACGGUGCGGAUGUGCGUGCUGUCCAGGAGUUGGAGGCACCUCUGGCGCUCCGUGCCGUCCAUCCACAUCGACCGGCGGGAGUUCGGUAGCGACCACGAGCUGCAGAGCUUCACCGACUUCCUCCUGGACCACCAUAACAACCUUGUGCUCCUGGAUGCGUUCCGGCUGCUGCUAAGCUCUCAAGAUCUCCGCCUACCGGCCAGCGAUUGGGUCCGUCGCGUCAUCAACCAAGAUGAUACACCGCCUCACCAGCUCAAAAGGUUGCACCUUUGCAACGUGCACCUGGACAUGGAUUUUGCGAGCCACAUCAGUGACGACAGGUGCCCCUCGCUGGAGGACGUGCGACUGGAAAACUGCAGUUACUUGACGGCCCGGUAUGAGAUCACCUCCUUCUCACUCAAGAAAUUGGUUGUGGAUGGUUUAUACAUGGUGCAAGAUGACGAAAGUGAUGAUGAUGAGGAUGAGAUUUUCAAGUUGAUUAUAAGGGCUCCUGCUCUUGUUUCUCUCCGCUUGGCCGGAGAGCUUGAUCACAUUGUUGAUAUCAAUGAACCACAUACCAUGCCGUCUCUUGUCGAUGCGUCGGUUCAUCUGCCCGUGAUGACUGACGAGGAGCUCAACAACGUUGAAGAAAACGAUGCCACUGCGCACCAAUCGGUUCUUGGCGUGCUGCUUAAUGUGACAACUUUGACCCUGUCGCAUUGCAGGUUGCUGUUCCAACCUGAGGAUUCUGUGGAACUUCAGCUUCUUGUAUUCCAGAACCUAAGAACCUUGUUCCUGGACGAGUGUUACAUUGUUGGCGAGGACUUCGUGGGGCUGAAGCCUUACCUGCAGAAGUCACCUAACCUGGAGAAGCUCAUUUUGCGCUGUAGCAAGGUGCAACCAGGGUACUCUUUGAACUGGUAUUUCGGAGACGACCUGGUGGAUUUCAUGUGCGAGAACCUUAUGCUUACUCAAAUUAUAUACCAGCAUGAUGAUGAUGCUGCCCCCCUAUUGGUCGCUUUUUUGCUGAGCAUUUCAAGGAGCCUGCCGAACAACAAGAUUGAACUCAUUAGAGUCGAAUAG
rnacentral:rRNA from 1 species